GGGCCCGCACAAGCAGCGGAGCGUGUGGUUUAAUUCGAUGAUACGCGAAGAACCUCACCCAGGUUUGACAUGCAUGUGGUACUGAUGUGAAAGCUGAGGGACCCUUCGGGGAGCAUGCACAGGUGUUGCACGGCCGUCGUCAGCUCGUGCCGUGAGGUGUUGGGUUAAGUCCCGCAACGAGCGCAACCCCUGUCGCCAGUUGUACUUUUCUGGCGAGACUGCCGAGAAAACCUCGGAGGAAGGAGGGGACGAUGUCAGGUCAGCGUGGCCCUUACGCCUGGGGCUACACACACGCUACAAUGGGCAGUACAACGGGUCGCGAAGCCGCGAGGCGAAGCUAAUCCCAUCAAAGCUGUCCUCAGUUCGGAUUGCAGGCUGAAACCCGCCUGCAUGAAGCCGGAGUUGCUAGUAACCGCAGGUCAGCAUUACUGCGGUGAAUACGUUCCCGGGCCUU
rnacentral:rRNA from 1 species